rnacentral:tRNA from 1 species
GGGCGGUUAGCUCAGUUGGCUAGAGCGUUCGGGUCACAUCCGAAAGGUCACUGGUUCGAAUCCAGUACCGCCCACUA